CAACCCAAUAUCUCAGACCAUGAUGGUCAGCAGGUUGACUUUUCAGUACCUACAUCCCGCAGUUUAAUACAUACAAAAAAAAUAUGCCGGCCUGUAACACAACAUGGGCUUUUUAAUUUCCAUAACAUUAUUUCAGAUACACCUUGGCAUUUUGUAUCAGAGCCUAACAUAUUGGUUGAAGAAAAGUUUAUCACAUUUCUAAACAUUUUACAGGAUACAUGCUUGACGCGUUUUCCCAUAAAGCAGUUUACUGUGAGAUCAGAUCAAUCCAAUAAUAUUUCCUGGUUUAGUGACGAGCUUAGAGGGAUGCGUGAGAGGCUUAGGUUUCUUGAAUUGAGAGACCAUGAACAACCAACUUGCGGAGUUUCUUGCAGAACCAUCUGGGGAGUUCGAUAAUUUCAUUCGGAUGUCAUAUGCAGAUUCUUCUACAACAAAUUUCUCCAAUGGUUGCAAAGCAAGACACUGACUGGAGAGAAGCUAUACCAGUUAAAAUACGACUAGCAUUAACCUUAAGAUAUUUAGCUAGCGGAGAUAGCUUCAGAAGUUUACAUUAUCUGUUUAAAAUAUCAGGUUCACUGAUCUCACGCAUAGUCAUUGAAGUCUGUGUGGCACUGAAUGAAGUUCUGAAAGAUAUGAUUAAGAUGCCUGAAACUACAGACGGAUGGAUUUCCAAGUCACAAGGCUUCAGCUUUCCCCAUUGCCUUGGGGCUAUUGAUGGGAAGCACAUAACUAUACAGUCACCUUUAUAAAAGAACUUUUAGCAUCGUUCUAUUAGUAGUAGUGGAUAGUAAUUACUGUUUUUUGUUUGCCGAUGUAGGAUCCCAAGGGAGGAUAAGUGAUGGCGGAGUUUUCAAUCAAAGUGUUUUACGCCGAAAACUAUUAUCUAAUAGUUUGAAUUUACCCCUCCCUAGUCCACUUCUGGAUAGUGAAAAUAUUAUACCCUACGUAUUU